ensembl:lincRNA
CCACUUUACUUGAAAUCUCUGUUUACAAAAUCUCCAUUUUGGCCAAAAUAUCCGCACAUGGGAAAUUUUGGAAUUAUUGGACAGUUCACUGCACUAGUCUAGUCUGGAUUGAGAGAAAAACACUUGCAUAUGCUGGGCUCUUAAUUAUUGUGUACCAUUGUUGGUCUAUGCUGUAAUAAUGCACAAAGGAGGAUUAUCCUUUAACAAUGAUGAAAAUGAGGACAAAGAUGAGAAGGACUGCACUGAUACUUUUAAGCCAAAAUAACAGAGAAUGAAGGCUGGUCACGAGUAAGGAUACGAGUCCUCAGGGGCUUGAUAAUUCUCUCUCUCUGGGUCAGGAUGGCUUCCUGGCCUCCAGCCCACUUCCCUGGCCCCUGAAGGCAGUACUGGAAAGAAAUUCUGGAUUUCAACAUGGCUUUCUUAUUGAGAAGAUACGGUUUCAGGAAAAUAUAGACACCCCGAAAAAUGUUCCAGGAAAUAAGGAAAAGUUUUUAAAAGAGAAAGAGACAAAUAAACAGAAUUACUACAAUAUGACUGGCAUCAUUUUAUAAAGGUAGGUUUUGAAUUUGUUGUCACUGAUUCGUUC